rnacentral:rRNA from 1 species
GAUGAACGCUAGCGGCAGGCUUAACACAUGCAAGUCGAGGGGCAGCGUGAUGAAGUAGCAAUACGGAUUUGACGGCGACCGGCGCACGGGUGCGUAACGCGUAUGCAACCUACCCAUAACAGGGGGAUAACACUGAGAAAUUGGUACUAAUACCCCAUAACACUUUAGAAGGCAUCUUCUGGGGUUGAAAGUUCAGGCGGCUAUGGAUGGGCAUGCGUUGUAUUAGCUAGAUGGUGAGGUAACGGCUCACCAUGGCCACGAUACAUAGGGGGACUGAGAGGUUAACCCCCCACACUGGUACUGAGACACGGACCAGACUCCUACGGGAGGCAGCAGUGAGGAAUAUUGGUCAAUGGACGCAAGUCUGAACCAGCCAUGCCGCGUGCAGGAUGACGGCUCUAUGAGUUGUAAACUGCUUUUGUACAAGGGUAAACCCUGGGACGCGUCCCAGGCUGAAAGUACUGUACGAAUAAGGAUCGGCUAACUCCGUGCCAGCCGCCGCGGUAACAC